rnacentral:rRNA from 1 species
UACGUAGGUGGCGAGCGUUGUCCGGAUUUACUGGGCGUAAAGAGCGCGCAGGCGGUCGUUCAAGUCGCGUGUGAAAGCCCCCGGCUCAACUGGGGAGGGUCACGCGAUACUGAUCGACUCGAAGGCAGGAGAGGGAAGUGGAAUUCCCGGUGUAGUGGUGAAAUGCGUAGAUAUCGGGAGGAACACCAGUGGCGAAGGCGGCUGGCUGGACCUGACCUGACGCUGAGGCGCGAAGGCGUGGGGAGCGAACGGGG